GGAUAUGGCGCAGUUGGUUAGCGCGCCAGAUUGUGGUUCUGGAGACCGAGGGUUCGAGUCCCUCUAUC
rnacentral:tRNA from 1 species